CAAAAAAAAUUGGAUCAAAAAUCAUCACUCAUUUUGCAGAAAAACUCACGCGAGAACACUGAGAAGCGAAAAUGGUGAUUUCCACCGCGAUUCUUCUCCGAUCUUCGCCGUGAUUUUUCUUCGAUCUACACCUCGCUUCUUAUUCUCCACCGCGCUUCUUCUUCUCUGCGGUUUUUUCAAACACUUAUGUUAUAGCUAUGAUUCUCAUCGGUUCUGCUUACACCGGACCAUCAAUGAAUCCUAUCCUUAAGAACUAGAAGACAUUUCAGACGAACUAGAACACAUUUCAGAUGAACUAGAAGACAUUUCACAUGAUGCCUAUGAAAAAACCUUGGAAAAGUUUAAGGAUCCUGAUUGGAGGGAAAUGUUUAUGGCCAUAUGACUAAUGAGAGGAAGAGGAAGUUUGGAUGGGUACUAAAACUCAUAUGUAUAAAUAUGUGAAGAAAAUGAUUACUAUUCAUUAUUAUAUUAUAAAAGUCACAAUUCCGUAUGUCUGGACGUCGAGAAAAACAUAAUUCCAAGAACUCAACACAAAUUUUAUCUGAUGAUGAUUAAUUGAA